UACCUACGGGUGGCUGCAGUGAGGAAUCUUGCGCAAUGGGGGAAACCCUGACGCAGCAACGCCGCGUGAGUGAGGAAGGCCUUCGGGUCGUAAAGCUCUGUCAGAUGGGAAGAAAUGGGUGGGGGCUAAUAUCGUCCAUCCUUGACGGUACCAUCAGAGGAAGCACCGGCUAACUCCGUGCCAGCAGCCGCGGUAAUACGGGGGGUGCAAGCGUUGUUCGGAAUCAUUGGGCGUAAAGCGCGCGCAGGCGGCUUGUUAAGUAAGAUGUGAAAUCCCUGGGCUUAACCCAGGAAGUGCAUUUGAUACUGCCUCGCUAGAGUACGGGAGAGGAAAGUGGAAUUCCUGGUGUAGAGGUGAAAUUCGUAGAUAUCAGGAGGAACACCGGUGGCGAAGGCGACUUUCUGGCCCGAUACUGACGCUCAGGCGCGAAAGCGUGGGGAGCAAACAGGAUUAGAUACCCUUGUAGUC
rnacentral:rRNA from 1 species